rfam:Hordeum vulgare subsp. vulgare, WGS project CAJW01000000 data, contig: morex_contig_327698
AAUGCACUCCCUCCGUCUUAAAUUUUUUGUCUUAGAUUGGUUUUGAUAUGAAUGUAUCUAGUAAUGUUUUGGUAUUUAGAUACAUUUAUUUCUAGACAAACAUAAGACAAGAAUUUUAAGAUAAAGGAAGUACUUA